UACGAAGGGGACUAGCGUUGUUCGGAAUCACUGGGCGUAAAGCGCACGUAGGCGGAUAUGUCAGUCAGGGGUGAAAUCCCGGGGCUUAACCUCGGAACUGCCUUUGAUACAGCAUAUCUUGAGUCCGAUAGAAGUGGGUGGAAUUCCUAGUGUAGAGGUGAAAUUCGUAGAUAUUAGGAAGAACACCGGUGGCGAAGGCGGCCCACUGGAUCGGUACUGACGCUGAGGUGCGAAAGCGUGGGGAGCAAACAGG
rnacentral:rRNA from 1 species